CACGUAGGGGGCAAGCGUUGUCCGGAAUCAUUGGGCGUAAAGAGCUCGUAGGCGGCUCGGUAAGUCGGGUGUGAAACCCCCAGGCUCAACCUGGGGACGCCACCCGAUACUGCUGUGGCUAGAGUCCAGUAGGGGAGUGUGGAAUUCCCGGUGUAGCGGUGAAAUGCGCAGAUAUCAGGAGGAACACCGGUGGCGAAGGCGGGUCUCUGGGCCGUUCCUGACGCUGAGACGCGAAAGCUAGGGGAGCGAACAGG
rnacentral:rRNA from 1 species